rnacentral:rRNA from 1 species
UACGUAGGGGGCAAGCGUUAUCCGGAUUUACUGGGUGUAAAGGGAGCGUAGACGGCAGCGCAAGUCUGGAGUGAAAUGCCGGGGCCCAACCCCGGAACUGCUUUGGAAACUGUGCGGCUCGAGUGCGGGAGAGGUAGGCGGAAUUCCUAGUGUAGCGGUGAAAUGCGUAGAUAUUAGGAGGAACACCAGUGGCGAAGGCGGCCUGCUGGACGACAACUGACGGUGAGGCGCGAAAGCGUGGGGAGCAAACAGG